UACGUAGGGUGCAAGCGUUGCUCGGAAUCAUUGGGCGUAAAGAGCGUGUAGGUGGCUAGAUAAGUCAGAUGUGAAAUCCCUCGGCUCAACCGAGGAAGUGCAUUUGAAACUAUCUAGCUCGAGGAUGGCAGAGGAAGGUGGAAUUCCUAGUGUAGAGGUGAAAUUCGUAGAUAUUAGGAGGAAUAUCGGUGGCGAAGGCGGCCUUCUGGACCAUUCCUGACACUGAGACGCGAAAGCGUGGGUAGCAAACAGG
rnacentral:rRNA from 1 species